rnacentral:rRNA from 1 species
GACGAACGCUGGCGGCGUGCUUAACACAUGCAAGUCGAACGGAAAGGCCCUGCUUUUGUGGGGUGCUCGAGUGGCGAACGGGUGAGUAACACGUGAGUAACCUGCCCUUGACUUUGGGAUAACUUCAGGAAACUGGGGCUAAUACCGGAUAGGAGCUCCUGCUGCAUGGUGGGGGUUGGAAAGUUUCGGCGGUUGGGGAUGGACUCGCGGCUUAUCAGCUUGUUGGUGGGGUAGUGGCUUACCAAGGCUUUGACGGGUAGCCGGCAUGGAUGGGUGACGGGCACAAGUGGACUGAGGGACGGACCAGUCGGCAAAGUGGGGCAAUGGGUGGGAGUAUUGCACAGUGAGCGGAAGUGUGAUGCAGAAACGCCGCGUGCGGAAUGACGGUCUUCGGGUUGUGAACCGCUGCCGCCUGUGACGAAGCGGGAGUGACGGUAAUGGGUAAAGAAGCACCGGCUAACUACGUG